rnacentral:rRNA from 1 species
CACUCCUACGGGAGGCAGCAGUGGGGAAUAUUGCACAAUGGGCGCAAGCCUGAUGCAGCCAUGCCGCGUGUAUGAAGAAGGCCUUCGGGUUGUAAAGUACUUUCAGCGGGGAGGAAGGCGAUAAGGUUAAUAACCUUGUUGAUUGACGUUACCCGCAGAAGAAGCACCGGCUAACUCCGUGCCAGCAGCCGCGGUAAUACGGAGGGUGCAAGCGUUAAUCGGAAUUACUGGGCGUAAAGCGCACGCAGGCGGUCUGUCAAGUCGGAUGUGAAAUCCCCGGGCUCAACCUGGGAACUGCAUUCGAAACUGGCAGGCUAGAGUCUUGUAGAGGGGGGUAGAAUUCCAGGUGUAGCGGUGAAAUGCGUAGAGAUCUGGAGGAAUACCGGUGGCGAAGGCGGCCCCCUGGACAAAGACUGACGCUCAGGUGCGAAAGCGUGGGGAGCAAACAGGAUUAGAAACCCUUGUAGUCCCAU